GUUUGUAUGUUUUGUCAACAACUCUGGAAGAAGUUUAGGGGGGAAGAUAAACCACCGGCGCAUUUAGGCGCCAGCAGAGACUACAAUGUAGACAUGGUUCCAAAGGAUUUGCUAGCGGUGAUCUAGAGAGAGAUGGCAAUGCAAUCCGUAUAUUCCUUGAAGAUGGACACCAAAUUGGAUGUGCUCAGUCAUAUGCAAAGAACAUGGGUCUUUAUGGACAGAGAGCGGGAUGUCUGAGUCUAUGGGAAAGACAAUCUUUCCUGCAAAGAAUGGUGGAAACCUCCAGGUUCUGUUGAUGGAAAGAGGAAAAUAGACGCUACAAAUCCUGGUCCAU